UACGGAGGGUGCAAGCGUUGUCCGGAUUUAUUGGGUUUAAAGGGUGCGUAGGCGGCUCUCUAAGUCAGUGGUGAAAGCCGACAGCUUAACUGUCGAAAUGCCAUUGAUACUGGGGAGCUUGAGUACAGUAGAGGUAGGCGGAAUUAAUGGUGUAGCGGUGAAAUGCAUAGAUACCAUUAAGAACACCGAUUGCGAAGGCAGCUUACUAUAGUGUAACUGACGCUGAGGCACGAAAGUGUGGGGAUCAAACAGG
rnacentral:rRNA from 1 species